UACGAAGGGGGCGAGCGUUGUUCGGAUUUACUGGGCGUAAAGGGCGCGUAGGCGGCUUCUCAAGCGUGUGGUGAAAGUCCGGGGCUCAACCCCGGAUCGGCCGUGCGGACUGGGGAGCUCGAGUUCUGUAGAGGCGGGUGGAAUUCCGGGUGUAGCGGUGGAAUGCGUAGAGAUCCGGAAGAACACCGGUGGCGAAGGCGGCCCGCUGGGCAGAGACUGACGCUGAGGCGCGACAGCGUGGGGAGCAAACAGG
rnacentral:rRNA from 1 species